rnacentral:rRNA from 1 species
UACGAAGGGGGCUAGCGUUGCUCGGAAUUACUGGGCGUAAAGGGCUCGUAGGCGGCCAACUAAGUCAGACGUGAAAUCCCUCAGCUUAACUGGGGAACUGCGUCUGAUACUGGAUGGCUUGGAUUCGGGAGAGGAAUGCGGAAUUCCAGGUGUAGCGGUGAAAUGCGUAGAUAUCUGGGGGAACACCGGUGGCGAAGGCGGCAUUCUGGACCGACAUUGACGCUGAGGAGCGAAAGCCAGGGGAGCAAACGGA